rnacentral:misc_RNA from 1 species
GGGAAUACGACGGCUUAGAAUAUACCGGGUUUUGGAGAUUAAUGUUUCGGUAACCAGACAAGUCAGAUUGUUGACAGAUGGCGACUUGUGUUCUUGCAAAUCCCUGCAAACCUUGUCUCCAUGUCUCAAGUAUAUCCCAAUCACACCAACAACCUCGAAUGGCCCGUGUCUUACCAGUUGGUGUUAAUGGUUUCCCUAAGAUGUGUGUGAAACUUGCUUCAGCUUACCCCCAAUAUGGACUUGUAUUGAAACUCCAACAACAUGAAAGUGCAACAAAGUACCAGCAAGGCACACUUGUUUGCUUGCUUGGUGGCAAAGAUAAGUCUGAAAGAGACAAUGGGGGUUCUCCAUGGAAUCCUUUUGAGAAGGUCAUGGAAAGUUUUAGGGGACAGUCAGUGGAAGAUGUGUUACGGCAG